UGUACUCCCAGAAAUUACUACAAGCAAGCUGGGCAGCCAUUGACACCCAGUUCCCAUGUGCUGAAAUCCCUGUGUGCGCCAAACCUACAACCCAGUAACUCCACUCUCAGGCCUUUACCUAUGAGACAUGAAGACUCCCAAGGGCAUCUGCAUUCCUUGCUCAGCUCUCCUCCAGCUCCACAGGCAGCAGCUCUGCAGCUUCAAAAUGCCACGUCUGAUCAUCCUGCCUGUCUCCUUCACUUAUGAGAACCCUUGAGAUGACACCGGGGCAUCCAUUUUCUUCCAGAAGUUCCCUGCUGCAAAAUCCAGACAGAUGACCCGA